rnacentral:rRNA from 1 species
AAGUCUGAUGCAGCAACGCCGCGUGGAGGAUGACACAUUUCGGUGCGUAAACUCCUUUUAUAUGAGAAGAUAAUGACGGUAUUAUAUGAAUAAGCACCGGCUAACUCCGUGCCAGCAGCCGCGGUAAUACGGGGGGUGCAAGCGUUACUCGGAAUCACUGGGCGUAAAGAGCAUGUAGGCGGAUUAAUAAGUUUGAAGUGAAAUCCUAUAGCUUAACUAUAGAACUGCUUUGAAAACUGUUAAUCUAGAAUGUGGGAGAGGUAGAUGGAAUUUCUGGUGUAGGGGUAAAAUCCGUAGAGAUCAGAAGGAAUACCGAUUGCGAAGGCGAUCUACUGGAACAUUAUUGACGCUGAGAUGCGAAAGCGUGGGGAGCAAACAGGAUUAGAUACCCUGGUAGUCCACGCCCUAAACGAUGUACACUAGUUGUUGUGAGACUUGAUCUUGCAGUAAUGCAGUUAACACAUUAAGUGUACCGCCUGGGGAGUACGGUCGCAAGAUUAAAACUCAAAGGAAUAGACGGGGACCCGCACAAGCGGUGGAGCAUGUGGUUUAAUUCGACGAUACACGAAGAACCUUACCUGGACUUGACAUAGUAAGAACUUUCUAGAGAUAGAUUGGUGUCUGCUUGCAGAAACUUAUAUACAGGUGCUGCACGGCUGUCGUCAGCUCGUGUCGUGAGAUGUUGGGUUAAGUCCCGCAACGAGCGCAACCCUCGUGUUUAGUUGCUAACAGUUCGGCUGAGAACUCUAAACAGACUGCCUACGCAAGUAGGAGGAAGGUGAGGACGACGUCAAGUCAUCAUGGCCCUUACGUCCAGGGCUACACACGUGCUACA